rnacentral:rRNA from 1 species
AUUGAACGCUGGCGGCAGGCCUAACACAUGCAAGUCGAGCGGAUGAAGGGAGCUUGCUCCUGGAUUCAGCGGCGGACGGGUGAGUAAUGCCUACGAAUCUGCCUGGUAGUGGGGGAUAACGUCCGGAAACGGGCGCUAAUACCGCAUACGUCCUGAGGGAGAAAGUGGGGGAUCUUCGGACCUCACGCUAUCAGAUGAGCCUAGGUCGGAUUAGCUAGUUGGUGGGGUAAAGGCCUACCAAGGCGACGAUCCGUAACUGGUCUGAGAGGAUGAUCAGUCACACUGGAACUGAGACACGGUCCAGACUUCUACGGGAGGCAGCAGUGGGGAAUAUUGGACAAUGGGCGAAAGCCUGAUCCAGCCAUGCCGCGUGUGUGAAGAAGGUCUUCGGAUUGUAAAGCACUUUAAGUUGGGAGGAAGGGCAGUAAGUUAAUACCUUGCUGUUUUGACGUUACCAACAGAAUAAGCACCGGCUAACUUCGU